rnacentral:rRNA from 1 species
UACAGAGGGGGCAAGCGUUGUUCGGAAUUACUGGGCGUAAAGGGCGCGUAGGCGGCCUGUUAAGUCGAACGUGAAAUCCCCAGGCUCAACCUGGGAACUGCGUCCGAUACUGGCAGGCUUGAAUCCGGGAGAGGGAUGUGGAAUUCCAGGUGUAGCGGUGAAAUGCGUAGAUAUCAGGAGGAACACCGAUGGCGAAGGCAGGUCUCUGGGCCACUACUGACGCUGAGAAGCGAAAGCAUGGGGAGCGAACAGG